UAGAGAAUAAAAGGAUUAUGCUUAUGGUGACCUAUAUAGAAAAUGAUUCGAUGGAAAAAUCAAUGAAAGGUAGUGAAGUUUGUGCGAUGAAUCACGGAAAUAGUCUAAACCAAGUCUAAACUAUUAUAUUUGGUAGAGACUAAGACGUCCUUGAUAAACAAUAUAGCACGACAGCAUAAAAAGGUUUUAAAAAGUAAGUAGGUUGUGUCAAAGAGAAAUAUUAUAUCUUUUUAAAAUAUUUUCUAUUUUAUCUACAAAAAUUGCAAUGGCGUUCAAAAUUGACAGAUGUCAACAUAAAAAAUAACGUUUUUAACAUUGAAAACUCGAGGUAUUCACAUAAAAAUAAUGAGCAUUUUUAUGUGUUUUAUCCAUUAAAAGGAUAAUAAAAACAAACUAUGAAUUUAUCUAUAAACACUUAAGUGCCGGAAUAUUAAUUGACAUAACAAACUUUAUCGCCAUACUCGGAAUAAAAUGAUAUGAAAAUGUCGUAAAAAUAAUCAUUGGUUAAGUGGACUACCGAGCAAGUGGUAGCGGACUCGAAUCCAGAAUCCGAUUAUGAUUGAAAAGUCUUCGAGAAUGAGCAAUAACCGUGUCCGUUAUAGGCAGAAUCCAAAAUGUUUUCAAUCUUCGCGCCAAAAGCAAAUUCAAUAUUGCCAUAAACAAAAACGGGAUUUCCGGAUAGACUAAGACGAUACUUCAUACAGCCAACGAUGGGACUUUAUGUCAUAGACUCUAUCAAUUCAUUUGUAUCUUCCUGUAUUCACUCGGUUGUUGUGCAUGUCCUAAACGUAUGUGUAACUCUUACACUUACAGUUCUGCUGAUUGUUAUACUAAACAUUAUAGUAAGUUUAAUAAACGACGAUGUUGAAGACUUGUCAUAAUACUUAA